rnacentral:tRNA from 1 species
GCACCAGACUUAGGAUCUGGCGGGCGACCGUGGGGGUUCAAGUCCCUCUACGCGCA